UAAAAUCUAAAUGGACUCAAUUAACAGUUAUAUUGAUUUUGCUCUUGAGGACAUUCGUCAUGGUAAUUCCAAUUUUAAGACUGGACAAGGAUGGACGUCGCCGAUUGUUAUUUAUUAGCAUUCACCUUAUGACUUAUUCAUUGAUGUUACUUGGAUGCUCAUUUUUUAUCUUUCAUCCUCACCAUGAAAAGGAUUUUAAGGUCAGUGAAGCUGUAAUUAGUUUGUUCUUUAUAAUAAUCUUUUUCGUAGCAUUUUCUAUAGGCUUAGGACCCAUCGAGGUCAGUGAAACUGUAAUUAGUUUGUUCUUUAUAAUAAUCUUUUUCGUAGCAUUUUCUAUAGGCUUAGGACCCAUCACCUGGAUAUAUGGUCCAGAAAUUCUUUCUCAUAGAUUACGCGCCCAAGGUGUUAGCAUUGGAGUUCUAAGUAAUAGAGUGAUCAAUUUUAUGGCGUUGAUGAUAUACCCUCAACUGAUUCACAGGAUCACUUACGGAGGAGUUUUUCUAGUGUAUACUAUUAUUCUUGUUGCUGGUUUUUUAUUUAUCUUUGAAAUUGUUCAAGAAACCCAACCCCAAAAUAACCUUCAACUAUAGGAGUGGAACUAACUAGCAAGCCAUAAACACAAUGUUAACCAACAACGAUCGGCCUUGGAACUGGAAUUACCAUAUCAAGAGGUAUCGAUUGAGAUUUUACUCCUGCAAAUAUUCCAUAUUGCUCGAUGCAAUGCAUAAUGAGAAAGCACAAUGUGUUGUAUAGUUUGGUUAUUAUAGAAAAUUGUAUUAGAGAUUGUAUUUGAUUAAUCUCAAUAUUAAAAGUCAAGUAAUGGGUUUUUUAUGUCUUGUUUUAUUGUUGUAUAUUUGUCUUAAAUCCAACCCUAAAUGCACUUAUCCUCUUAACUCAAAAUAUUUAUUUAUUUAUAAUUUAUAUAUGGCCUAAUGUUUUAAUAAAUCCUGAACUUCGAAUGUUUUAAUUAUUUUAAUCAAUUCUUUUAAUUUUUUUCAAUCAAUGCAUACGAUUUAAUUUUUAUUAACAAUUGCGACCUUCAUUCAAGACCCGUUAGAAUCACGCUGACGUAUCCAUUAACGGAUCUCACAAACUAACAACACAGCAGCUGACUAGGAAAUCCACUGGAACACCCCUCUUAUCAAUGACAACACAAAAUGUCGGCAUUUUAUGUUUUUGGGUUUUGUUCUCUGAUGGAAAACAAGCUACCAGAACAAACAAUUGUAAGUUUCUAGCUUUUCCAAUUGGAUAAAAUGCCGGCUAAUAAUACACCACAAGAUUGCACAUACGUUAGUAGUAAUAAUUAAAAUAUCACAUUGCUCGUCUGUAAUUUUUAAACUUUCUAAAAUGUUAGGCGUUGUUGUUAAUCAAUGCAGAUGAAUUCAUCUGAUAACAGUAUUAUAAAAAAGAGAAACAAAAGUUAGAAAAGGAUAAAUCUCUAAAGGAAAUACAGUACUAUUUCUUGAAGAUUCCACACAUUUACACAUGUAUACUUUCUCUUUAGCAGAGUACAUAAAUUACAUUGUAAUUUUCCUAAAAAGAAAAAUAAUAUGAAUUUAAUUAAAUAAAUUUAGACCACCGAUAAAAAUAAUAUGAAUUUAAUUAAAGAAAAAUUUAGACCACCGAUAAAAUAAAUAAAUAAAUAAGCAAUAAAGUAUGAGAGGUAAAUAACUCACUGUAUGACUAUCUAUGUGUUGGAAUUGGCUAGUAAAUUAUUAUAGUUCGGUUCUAGCUCUGGAUCCUAAAUCAUUUGGUUUGAGUUCCAAAUUUGAUAACCGAAUUAUGGUUCUGGUUUAGGUUCUUACCAAAAUUGAACCAGAACCAGAAUCGGAACCCGCACCGUACUACUUCUUGAUAUCGCUGAAGUGUUCGCCUCCUUAACAGGCCUCUAGCUUGAGUUUGUGGCAUAAUGUAACAAUACCAGAAAUUAAAUUUGAUAACCAUGCUAGAAAUUAAAUUUCUAUGAAACGUGGCUCAUACAUAAUGCAACAACUAAUUUAACCUUCCAAUAGCAAAAGAAACAAUAAAAAUACAAUCCUAUCCUAAAUUUAACCUUUUAUAAAAAAUUAACAGCAGACCUAGCAUUAAGAAAUAGUACAGUAUUUCCUUAACAGAUUGAUGUCUUUUUCUAACUUUUAUUUGUUUUUUAUACUGUUAUUCAGAUGAAGUUGCGUUGCUUAGAAAUGUCACCUAUAUCAUAAAAAGUUUGGAAAUUACGCACGAGGAAUAUGAUAUUUUAAUUAUUACUACGGAUAUAUGUGCAAUCUUGGGGUGUAUUAUAGCUGGCAUUUUAUCAGAUUGGAAGGGGCGCAAACUUAUAAUUAUUAGCUCUGGUAGCUUCUUUUCAACUGGAGCAAUAAUGUUAUAUGCGGCAAAUUCUUUUAAAACUUCAUUGUUUGCUCGUAUUAUUUUCGGCUUCGGGAUUGGCUUUGGCCUAUCAACCACUCCAGUGUAUAUUGCAGAGUGGUCUUCGCCACUUGUACGAGGUUUCCUCUGCUCAUUUCCCGAGGUCAGUUCUUUAACUAAUUCAUUAUUUUAUUGAUGACGCGUAUGUCUUUAUAAAUGAUAGUUAUUUUAAAUGAUUUUUCAGGUAUUAUAUAAUAUGGGGUAUGUUUUAGCUCUUUUAUUUUAUCGGGCAUUCGAAAAGCUUUCUAGUGACUUCAACUGGCGGGAUUCAAUGGCUUUUUCUGCUCUCCCCUCUUUACUAAUGACGCUAGCUAUGUUGAUCAUCAUGCCAGAGUCAGCAAAUUGGCUAAUAGUACAAGGUCGAUUUGCUGAUGCUUAUGCUGUUGUAACUAGAUUUGCAACUACUGACGAUGAGAUCAUUAAUAGAAUGAUUGGCUUUCAAAGUGAAAUCGGCAUUCACAUUAACAUAGAAAACAAUGCUGCCAUCGUUCCUUUACAGAUCCGAGGAAAUAGAAUAGCUUGGCGUCAGUUAUUAUCUCCAUCUUUACUUGAUGUUUUCUUAUCAUUUAUAAUUUUAUAUGCAUUGCAUGGGGCAAUAGGAAGAAACAAUAUCAUUUUUUAUGCCAUUAAAAUCUUAGUAUUUACAGGGGUAAAAUCUAAAUGACCUCAUUAAACAGUUAUAUUGAUUUUGCUCUUGAGGACAUUCGUCAUGGUAAUUCCAAUUUUAAGACUGGACAAGGAUGGACGUCGCCGAUUGUUGUUUAUUAGCAUUCACCUUAUGACUUAUUCAUUGAUGUUACUUGGAUGCUCAUUUUUUAUCUUUCAUCCUCACCAUGAAAAGGAUUUUGAGGUCAGUGAAACUGUAAUUAGUUUGUUCUUUAUAAUAAUCUUUUUCGUAGCAUUUUCUAUAGGCUUAGGACCCAUCACCUGGAUAUAUGGUCCAGAAAUUCUUUCUCAUAGAUUACGCGCCCAAGGUGUUAGCAUUGGAGUUCUAAGUAAUAGAGUGAUCAAUUUUAUGGCGUUGAUGAUAUACCCUCAACUGAUUCACAGGAUCACUUACGGAGGAGUUUUUCUAGUGUAUACUAUUAUUCUUGUUGCUGGUUUUUUAUUUAUCUUUGAAAUUGUUCAAGAAACCCAACCCCAAAAUAACCUUCAACUAUAGGAGUGGAACUAACUAGCAAGCCAUAAACACAAUGUUAACCAACAACGAUCGGCCUUGGAACUGGAAUUACCAUAUCAAGAGGUAUCGAUUGAGAUUUUACUCCUGCAAAUAUUCCAUAUUGCUCGAUGCAAUGCAUAAUGAGAAAGCACAAUGUGUUGUGUAGUUUGGUUAUUAUAGAAAAUUGUAUUAGAGAUUGUAUUUGAUUAAUCUCAAUAUUAAAAGUCAAGUAAUGGGUUUUUUAUGUCUUGUUUUAUUGUUGUAUAUUUGUCUUAAAUCCAACCCUAAA
rnacentral:lncRNA from 1 species